AACGCUAGCUACAGGCUUAACACGUGCAAGUCGAGGGGCAGCAUGGUCUUAGCUUGCUAAGGCCGAUGGCGACCGGCGCACGGGUGAGUAACACGUAUCCAACCUGCCGUCUACUCUUGGACAGCCUUCUGAAAGGAAGAUUAAUACAAGAUGGCAUCAUGAGUUCACAUGUUCACAUGAUUAAAGGUAUUCCGGUAGACGAUGGGGAUGCGUUCCAUUAGAUAGUAGGCGGGGUAACGGCCCACCUAGUCUUCGAUGGAUAGGGGUUCUGAGAGGAAGGUCCCCCACAUUGGAACUGAGACACGGUCCAAACUCCUACGGGAGGCAGCAGUGAGGAAUAUUGGUCAAUGGGCGCAGGCCUGAACCAGCCAAGUAGCGUGAAGGAUGACUGCCCUAUGGGUUGUAAACUUCUUUUAUAAAGGAAUAAAGUCGGGUAUGUAUACCCGUUUGCAUGUACUUUAUGAAUAAGGAUCGGCUAACUCCGUGCCAGCAGCCGCGGUAAUACGGAGGAUCCGAGCGUUAUCCGGAUUUAUUGGGUUUAAAGGGAGCGUAGAUGGAUGUUUAAGUCAGUUGUGAAAGUUUGCGGCUCAACCGUAAAAUUGCAGUUGAUACUGGAUAUCUUGAGUGCAGUUGAGGCAGGCGGAAUUCGUGGUGUAGCGGUGAAAUGCUUAGAUAUCACGAAGAACUCCGAUUG
rnacentral:rRNA from 1 species